rnacentral:rRNA from 1 species
AUUGAACGCUGGCGGCAGGCCUAACACAUGCAAGUCGAGCGAGCGGCGGACGGGUGAGUAAUGUAUGGGGACUGCCCGAUAGAGGGGGAUAACUACUGGAAACGGUGGCUAAUACCGCAUACUAUCGGAUAACCCAUAUGGGAUUAGCUAGUAGGUGGGGUAAAGGCUCACCUAGGCGACGAUCUCUAGCUGGUCUGAGAGGAUGAUCAGCCACACUGGGACUGAGACACGGCCCAGACUCCUACGGAGGCAGCAGUAGGGAGUAUUGCACAAUGGGCGCAAGCCUGAGGCAGCCAUGCCGCGUGUAUGAAGAAGGCCUUAGGGUUGUAAAGUACUUUCGGUAGAGAGGCGUUAACUACAGAAGAAGCACCGGCUAACUCCGUGCCAGCAGCCGCGGAAAUAC